rnacentral:snRNA from 1 species
UUUGUAAAUAACAUAAACACCACUAAAAUAGGAAUGGUACAGAGAUUAUCAUGGCCCCUAUGCAAGGAUGACAUGCAAAUUUGUGAAGAGCUACCUAUUAAA